rnacentral:lncRNA from 1 species
GAAAUUGCUAGUUAUACAAUGUCAUUUUAAAUCUCAACCCAUAAAAAGAAAAACCUUUUCAUCUUCCCACUUUGAGAAGCCAUUUGUUGUUCAAGCAUCACCAGCAGAGGGCUCCGUGGCUGGCUGGUGGCCCUUCCUACCAGACGGGGUCUGGUUCUGGCUGGUUCAGGUCCCCAAGCUGUUGAAUGCAAGUGGCUGAGCCCGGCAACCUAGGAAACUCCUGGCGCUGUCAGCUGGAUGUGAGGUGCUAAGCAGAUGACACAUCAGACAUGGUGUCUGUGGUUAGACAGGAAACUGCAGCACAUGUUUCUGCACAGGUGGCUUAAGUGUGCUCGCAUUGGCACUUGUGAGUCUCAGGGGACUUGUGUGAGCAUAUCAUUGAACACUCUUUUCAAAGUGUGGAGUGGCACAGGGCUCAAGGACACCCUUUAAAGUGCAGGCCUUGCAAUUGGCUCUUGUCUAUACAGCCAUUCACUUGAUAUAAAGUUUGCACAGCAAGUGGGACCUGGAUAUGGAAAGGACAGAGUCUGGGCCGAGGACCGAGUGCUUUACCUCUCUGAUGUGACUCUACUUCCUCCUCUGUAAAAUGAAGACCAGACUGUUUAACUCAGAGUUUGUCAGAGGAUCUGUGAACAAACAUGAGCAGAGGCAUUUAUCAGAGUUUACUGUGUAAUAAUCGUAACUAUGGAGUGGUGGGGCACAGUCACAGGCCACUUAUGACAGGGAGAUGUUCUAAGGACUAUGUGAAUAGGGGACUCCAUCCCUGUGUGAACUCCACAGACUGCAGGAACACAGACAGAGGGACAGCUGGCCACACACCUGGGCCACAAGGUGUGUCCAUGUGGCUUCUGGGCCACACUGAACAGCACAACAUGAGCAUCCCUGAGAAGAUGGUCUCUCAGCUGACAGAUGAGGAAACUUGAGGAGCUCCCCAGGGGGCUGUGGUACACAUUUACCUAUGUGCAGAAACUUCUGUGUUGCAGAGCCCCCAGCCACACAUCAACUCCCGGAAGGAGGGAUUUUCACCUUUCUUCCAGGUCAUGCAGCAGAGACAGAGGCCCUCCUCACCUGUAAAGCCCUUUAGGAACCUCCAGGAUAACUGGCUCUGCGGUAGAAGCCGAACUUGCUGAAACGGCCUGCAUCUGCCACCAUAUCAGCAAAAGGCACCCCAUCCACUCUGAAAACAGAAGACACCCCAGGCCAGCACAGCUCCAAGUGCCCAGUCUCCCAAGGGCUCUACUGUCCCUAGAGUGAGUGACGGACUUGGUCUCUGCAGACAUCUGUUUCAAAUCCACAGACUUAGUAACUCUUUGAAAAGAACAAACAAAAUUCAAUUUGCUCACAAAGAAUGUCAGACUGGGGUCCCCAGCGCUUUAUUAAAAAUGUAUAUAAAAAGACAAAGCAUUUGAAUCACCUUGGCUUUCUGGUCUCUUCUAUCAUUUCAGCUUCAUGUCCAGCACUUGAGGAUAGGACUAACUUAUAGCAUGCUCCUGUGUGCACGGGCAUGCAUGUGUGGAUGUGCACAUGUGUAUGCAUGCUAGUGUGUGUGCUGUUCCUGGCAAUUCCUGAGGUCCAGGACACUCUACUUGGCCUCUGCCCAUCUCCCCAAGGAGGGUUCCAGGUCCCCGGUGUUAGUGACAGAAGUGACAGGUGGUCCCUGUCACCCGCUCUUC